rnacentral:rRNA from 1 species
UGGGAACGUGCCCAAAGGUACGGAACAACUCCGGGAAACUGGAGCUAAUACCGUAUGUGCCCGAAAGGAGAAAGAUUCAUCGCCUUUGGAUCGGCCCGCGUCUGAUUAGCUAGUUGGCGGGGUAAUGGCCCACCAAGGCGACGAUCAGUAGCUGGUCUGAGAGGAUGACCAGCCACACUGGGACUGAGACACGGCCCAGACUCCGUACGGGAGGCAG